rnacentral:tRNA from 1 species
AUUUAAGUAGCUUAAAUUUAAAGCACAUCUCUGAAGAAGAUAAGAUGAGUUCCUCCUUAAAUA